UACGAAGGGUGCAAGCGUUGUUCGGAUUUACUGGGCGUAAAGCGCGCGCAGGCGGAUUGUUAAGCCAGAUGUGAAAUCUCGGGGCCCAACCCCGAAACUGCGUCUGGAACUGAUAAUCUAGAAUCUUGGAGAGGGAAGUGGAAUUUCGCAUGUAGGGGUAAAAUCCGUAGAGAUGCGAAGGAACACCAGAGGCGAAGGCGGCUUCCUGGCCAAGUAUUGACGCUGAGGCGCGAAAGCGUGGGGAGCAAACAGG
rnacentral:misc_RNA from 1 species